GGUCCUCGUGCGUGCCUGAACAUCGAAUAGUAGAUAAUUACUAUAGGUCCCCAAGUGGUGAGAAAGAUUGGACACGGGUAAGGUUCGGAAAUAUUUGAAAACUUCGUUUGACUUGUCUUUGAAGUUGGAUUCUCAAAAGGGUGCAGGACUCGAGUAAAAAUCGGAUUAUUAUCCUUAAAAUCAUUGGUUGGAAACGAGUACGAGCAAAACGAUUGCAAAACGAACGAUCGAAAUCGAAAAAGGGCUGGCCACGCCACAAUCCGGCCGGAUUUCUGGCCAGAUUGGAGGCAGUGGCUAACCUCCUUUUUUUUCAAACUUCACCACUAAUCAAGCCGACAAUCCGGCCAGUUUCUGGCCGGAUUCUGUGGAAUAGUUCCUUCGCGGAUUUCCUUUGGAAUUUCAGAAUUUUCGAUUUUUGGUCAAAUCUUUGAAAAAUCAUAAUUUCUUCUCUACAAAUCGAAACUUGAUAAAUUUGGUACCGUUGGAAUCAUCUUCCAAAGUACUAAAAGUCCUUAGAAGACAUUGUUCCAUGAAUCUAAGUGGAAGGUAUUCAAAAAUGAGUCUAAAGUUGCUGUUCUAGAUUACCAGGAUUGAGCCGGGGUUGAUUUUUCGCUAAUUUUGGAAAUUCGGAAAAAAUCACUCGUUGCAAACCGGCCCUUGAAACUUAUAACUCAAUUAGAAGUACAAGUAAAGUUUCGGACAGAACAAGCGGCUCAAGAAUCGGAGUUUCGAGCACCAAGAUAUGGUAGCUCAAAGUUGGGAAAAAUUGAAGACUGUUACAAAAUUUCCAGAUUUGGUUCCGACUUUGGACCUUUUGUUAAGUGUCGAAACGGACUUGAAUUGACACCAAAUUUUGUAGUAUAAUACUCCCAUAUGAAGGGUAUCUCUCUAUCAAAUUUCAUGGAAAAAUACCCUCGGAAAGGUGGUUAAUCAAUCAACCAAAGUUUGGAAAAAUCCUUAAGGCAAUCUAUCCAAAUCUAAGGUUUCAAAAACGAUGCAAUCGCCGUAUUUUGAUCAUAACUCCCUCAAUUUAACUCAGAAUUGGGAAUGGUUGAUAGUGUUAGAAAAUAAAUUCACAGGGAUAAAAUUGCACUGAAGAAAUCGUUACAAGUUUCAGCAUGUAACUGGUUCGAAAUUAAGCCUAAAGUUGCACCAUCAUCAAAUCAUUUCGGCAGAAUGGAGAAACAGGACAGCCGACUUCAGUUGAAUGGUGUGGCUCACACACAUGAAACCAGAAUGUGCACUAUACACCAUUGGAAACAUAGGAACGUCUAGUUUCAAAUGCCGCUAACGGCACUUGAUUUCGACGUCGGAGUACGGAGUUAUGGACGAAACACGAACACUGGUCUGGUUACGACGGCAACCGUUUUCCCAGAUUACUAGCUUUGGAAAUAAAUUCGUUUGACCCACCAAAACUCAGUAUUUUUCAACGAAAAUUUGUACACAACUGCUACAACAUGUAAACAACAUAACCAGGCCAUUAAAUCCUCAGUUUCUGCAUUAAAAUGACCGAACAGAGCAGGGGUAAAAUGGGAACUUUUUGUUUCAAGAGUUCAAUAACGUUUCUGGUAACAAAGCACCUUUAAUCUACUUCCUUAAGCUCUAAUUCAGCAACAAAACCAUCAUCAAACAUCAUCACAGCCAUCAACCCAAAGUGGGAGUUCAUAGAGCCCACGUUUAACAAUUUUCCCAACAAUACAAGCUACUAAAGUGACGAUUCUAGCUCAAAUGCAUAAAUCAAACUCCAAAAGACAAGUUUAAGGUGAUUGAUUACUACCUACUUUGAUGGCUGGUUAGGACAGAAGUUUCUGCCCCUUUGAAGCUUGAAGAACCGUGAAAGCUCCUCCCUUUUCCAGCUAAAUGUGUUGUCCAAGACUUAGGCUAAGUGGUGCUAAAUUUUUAGAAGAUUUGGUGGUGAUUUGCAUGAGUUUUGGAAGAAGAAAUGCUGAAGGUUUCGGUUGUCCCUUUUGCUGCUGCUAUCCGGCCAUGAAGCUUUGCAGAAAUGAAAUGAGAUUGCUG
rnacentral:lncRNA from 1 species